CCAUAGUGAUAGAUAAGGAGCCGGGGACCUUCGUGGUGAGAGACAGCACGUCCUUCAGAGGCUCCUUUGGGCUGGCUAUGAAGGUGGACCAGGUGCCUGUCAAUAUAUCCCCUACUGGCCAACCAGCGGAGGGCAGCUCAGAGCUCGUGAGGCACUUUCUCAUUGAAUCGUCGGCCAAGGGCGUCCGUAUCAAGGGCUCCUCACACGAACCAUACUUCGGUAGUCUGUCUGCCCUGGUCUUCCAACACACCGUCACUGCAUAUGCCCUACCCUGCAAACUUCUGCUCCAGUCACAU